rnacentral:piRNA from 1 species
UAGAGAAUGGAAUGGUAUAUUUCAAGCCCCU